UACGAAGGGGGCUAGCGUUGAUCGGAAUUACUGGGCGUAAAGCGCACGUAGGCGGCUUUCUAAGUCGGGGGUGAAAUCCUGGAGCUCAACUCCAGAACUGCCUUUGAUACUGAAGAUCUUGAGUUCGGGAGAGGUGAGUGGAACUGCGAGUGUAGAGGUGAAAUUCGUAGAUAUUCGGAAGAACACCAGUGGCGAAGGCGGCUCACUGGACUGGUAUUGACGCUGAGGUGCGAAAGCGUGGGGAGCAAACAGG
rnacentral:rRNA from 1 species